rnacentral:rRNA from 1 species
UACGUAGGGGGCGAGCGUUGUCCGGAAUUAUUGGGCGUAAAGCGCGCGCAGGCGGCUCUUUAAGUCAGGUGUGAAAGGCUGCGGCUCAACCGCAGAGCGGCACCUGAAACUGGAGAGCUUGAGUGCAGGAGAGGGGAGCGGAAUUCCCGGUGUAGCGGUGGAAUGCGUAGAGAUCGGGAGGAACACCAGUGGCGAAGGCGGCUCUCUGGCCUGUAACUGACGCUGAGGCGCGAAAGCGUGGGGAGCAAACAGGAUUAGAUACCCUGGUAGUCCACGCCGUAAACGAUGAGUGCUAGGUGUUGGGGGCGUUACGCCCUCAGUGCCGAAGGUAACCCAAUAAGCACUCCGCCUGGGGAGUACGGCCGCAAGGCUGAA